rnacentral:rRNA from 1 species
CCUACGGGUGGCAGCAGUGGGGAAUAUUGCACAAUGGGCGAAAGCCUGACGCAGCGACGCCGCGUGAGGGAUGAAGGUCUUCGGAUCGGAAACCUCUGUCAGCAGGGAAGAACGGUCACUGUGCUAAUCAGCAGUGAAUUGACGGUACCUGAAACAGAAGCACCGGCUAACUCCGGGCCAGCAGCCGCGGGAAUACGGAGGGUGCGGGCGUUAAUCGGAAUUACUGGGCGUAAAGCGCUCGUAGGCGGGGGGGCAAGUCAAGGGUGAAAUCCCAGCGCUUAACGUGGGAACUGCCUUUGAAACUGGCAAACUGGAGUGGGUGAGAGGAUAGUGGAAUUCCAGGUGUAGGAGUGAAAUCCGUAGAUAUCUGGAGGAACAUCAGUGGCGAAGGCGACUAUCUGGCACAUAACUGACGCUGAGGAGCGAAAGCGUGGGUAGCAAACAGGAUUAGAUACCCCUGUAGUC